rnacentral:rRNA from 1 species
CCUACGGGAGGCUGCAGUGGGGAAUAUUGGACAAUGGGCGCAAGCCUGAUCCAGCCAUGCCGCGUGAGUGAUGAAGGCCCUAGGGUUGUAAAGCUCUUUCACCGGUGAAGCGGUAACCGGAGAAGAAGCCCCGGCUAACUUCGUGCCAGCAGCCGCGGUAAUACGAAGGGGGCUAGCGUUGUUCGGAUUUACUGGGCGUAAAGCGCACGUAGGCGGGCUUUUAAGUCAGAGGUGAAAUCCCAGGGCUCAACCCUGGAACUGCCUUUGAUACUGGAAGUCUUGAGUAUGGUAGAGGUGAGUGGAAUUGCGAGUGUAGAGGUGAAAUUCGUAGAUAUUCGCAGGAACACCAGUGGCGAAGGCGGCUCACUGGACCAUACUGACGCUGAGGUGCGAAAGCGUGGGGAGCAAACAGGAUUAGAUACCCGAGUAGUC